rnacentral:rRNA from 1 species
UAAAGAAAGCGUAAUAGCUCACUGGUCGAGUCGGCCUGCGCGGAAGAUGUAACGGGGCUAAACCAUGCACCGAAGCUGCGGCAGCGACGCUGAUGCGUUGUUGGGUAGGGGAGCGUUCUGUAAGCCUGUGAAGGUGGCCUGUGAGGGUUGCUGGAGGUAUCAGAAGUGCGAAUGCUGACAUAAGUAACGAUCAAGCGCGUGAGCGGCGCGC